AAGCCUCUUUGCUCCGUGAGAAAGGCGCCUGGUGUGGACAUCGAUGUACUAACCUGCGGCGGUCAGGAUCUGCAGCUGAACUUUGGAACAUUCGAAAGGACAUCAAGGCCCUGCAUCCGAAAUAUGAAGGUGCCUGUGCUGACGGUGGUCCUGGCUGAGUGCUGGG
rnacentral:lncRNA from 1 species